AUACAUACAUAUAUAUUGUGAGUUUUGAUGGCUCAGGACCAUUUCGAAGCUCGAACACAUUGAAGACAUUGGAGUUGUAAAUCAGCACACUACCAUAUAUAGAUCGGCAUCGAUACACCACUGACAAGUUACUACACAAACCACAUUUGUUGUGUUCUUAAUGGUUGACAAUAAGUGACACAGGUCUUUACCACAAUCCUUGACUAGAUUGAAAAUGAGAGGGGUCUUUCGCCACGACAAACACUUUUCCGCCUUUCAGUGUUGAACACUAACUCGACACUGUUGAUAUUGUUUAAUGGUUUUUGGAUUCCCAAUCAGCGUUGAGUCCAGUGCAGAAGAAAUGUCAAAAAAAAAGUAAAAUCAAAUCUGAAAAAACUUCUUCUCUGCUAUACAAAGCAUGAGAGGAACAUUGCUGGGCAGAGCUU